CAAGAAAGAAAAUUUGGAAUCGAAGGAUCUGGAGAUGUGUAGCGGAGGCGAUUGACUCGGCGGAGGUCGAUCUGGAGAUGAAUUUGGAGUCGAUUCAAUCGGAACAGAAGCAUCUCUGUUGAAUCAAUUAGAAUCAGAGGGGAUGGUAAAGAGUUUUCACCCACCAUUGGCUUCUUUGUUGAUGUUGCUCCUUCUCAGGUUAUUGUGCGCCAAUGGAAUUAGCAAGACGAGUGGUUAGCCAAAGUAUCUAAAGAAGAGGAAGAGAGAUAUUCUCAAGCAGUCAGGUCUUUGGAGUUUGACAAGCAUCUUGGCCUGGAAUGUAUAUUGGUAGCACCGGAUCUCUCGUGGUAUGCACCAUCUGAUGGAAAGACUGAUUACAGGAGAAGGAUCCGUAUUAUCAACCAAGACAUGAACAAGUACAAUAAAGCGAGUACCGUUUUGUUGUCCGGUUUACCAACAAAGACAAGAACAAGUACAAUACAUCAGGUUGCUGGUGAGGACAAUACAUCAAGGUUUUUAGUUCUAUAUCUUUAUUUUAGUUAAGCAUGUCAUGUUUGGAGCAAAUCAGUAUUAAAAUUAAUCAUUCUCUCCAUUUAUAAAUUGCACUUCUGUUGUAAUAUGUAUUAAUGCUUUUAUU